AUUGAACGCUGGCGGCAGGCCUAACACAUGCAAGUCGAACGAGUGGCGGACGGGUGAGUAAUGUCUGGGAAACUGCCCGAUGUGGGGGGAUAACUACUGGAAAAGGUAGCUAAUUCCCCCGACACUCGGAUGUGCCCAGAUGGGAGUAGUUAGUAGGUGGGGUACCGGCUCACCUAGUCGCCGAUCCCUAGCUGGUCUGAGAGGAUGACCCGCAACACGGGAACUGAGACACGGUCCAGACUCCUACGGGAGGCAGCAGUGGGGAAUAUUUCACAAUGGGCGCAAGCCGGAUGCAGCCAUGCCUCGUGUAUGAAGAAGGCCUUCUGGUUGUAAACUACUUUCAGCGAGGAGGCGUUACUCGCAGAAGAAGCACCGGCUAACUCCGUGCCAGCAGCCGCGGUAAUUC
rnacentral:rRNA from 1 species